CAUCCUGUCAUGUAAGUACCUUCUACUGGUAUCUGUAGAACAAGAAUCCAUACUCACCAUCCUGUCAUGUAAGUACCUUCUACUGGUAUCUGUGUAGAGAA